rnacentral:tRNA from 1 species
GGGGCUGUAGCUCCAUGGUAGAGCCCUUGCCUUGCAGGUAUGAGGCCCUGGGUUUGAUCCUCAGCACCCACA